rnacentral:lncRNA from 1 species
GUGCACCACCUCCCUCCGCCGUCGCCGCUCCCGCACCCUGCCACCACCGCAGCCGGCUUCGCCGCCGCGAGGACAAGCCUAUCGGCCGCUCCUCUCCCCCAAUCGACCGCCAAGCUGUCACCUCCACUGCCAACCCGAGGCCGCCGCCGCUUUCGCCGCCCCGGCCACCGUUUACCGCCGCUCCCGGCCGUCCCGAGCCGCACCCGUGGCCAUCCUCAGCGUCGCCGCGUCGUGCCGCACCUCGGUUGCCGCCCCUCGCCGCCGAAAUUCCACGGGAGCCCGCUUUUCCCCGUUCAAGGUCCCGGAGGCCCCCGGCCGUCACUCGUCGCCCGUCGGCCGCCGUUGGGGCGCCGCCGUCGUCCUCGCCCGGGGAGCUCCGCCACUACCUCGCCUCCGUCCGGUGCCGUGCCGCUUGGUGAGCAUCCCCUUUCCUCCUCUUCUUUCCGCCGCCCUUCGCGCGCCCUCUCGCGCCGCUGCUCGCCGCCGGUGGCCGGGCGCCGCCGUGCGUCGUGUCUCGACCGGGCCGGCUCUGAGCCGUGCCCGUGCUCUGGGCGCCCUGCCUCGUGGCCGCCCGAUCAGCUCGAGCUGAUCUGGGCCGUCGGUUCCUGUGGACCGGCGGUGGACCACCCCGUGGUCCCGGUCCACGGUGGACCGAUUCCCUUGACCCGCUGACGUGUGGGGCCCGCCUGUCGGCGCCGGCCUCUUUGAUGACGUCAGUACUUAAGCUUUUCCUUUGAAAAAAUAAUUAAUAAUUGCGCAAUAAAUCGAGUUUAAUUCUAGAAAUUCAUUUAAAUGGCUCAAAACUUCUAAAAUUCAUAUCUAAUUCAUUCGAACUCCGAAUUGAGCCAUUCAACUUGCAAAAUUCAUCUAAAAUUGAGCUCUACAUGUUUGUUUAGUUUUUAUGUACUGUUUCCUCGGUUUUUAUUAGAGUUUUUCCUCGUUUUGCGUGCCAGCGUGUAGUUUCCGUCGUUUCGGAAGUCCGCGGUCGCGAGGAAAAGAGUUCGGAAGAUCAAAGUGAAGAAGCAAGGCAAGUCACACAUUCCCCUUGAGCAUGUUGAUCCUAAUUUACAAAUGUUUUACUGUUUGCAAAUAAAUAUGCAUGUUUUGCUAAUUACAUGGGAUCCGGGUAUUACCUAUCUGUUCGCUUGUGCCAUGUUUACUUGAUAUCUGUUCUUUGUCAACCUUGGGUAAUGAAUCGACUAGCUCAUGUUACUUAUGUGACCUAGCUAGAACUAUAUGCUUAGCCAUGCUUAAUUACCACUAGCUCAGUUGAUGGGAUAAUUACAGUAUUAGACCUUUUUAGUAUCAGUUUGAGCUGCGUGCUCGAGACACCUGGCCAUGCUUCAUGGUCGUAAUUAUCCAACUAAAAUGCGACUGAAUGGUGGGCUGUGGGUGCAUGGUUUUGCUGGUCGCACCCAUGGCAAUUAAGGACCGGUUCGCGGGAUGCCCUGGAAGAACUUAUCGUACUUACCACAAGCCAGCGUGGGCAACGGCUGGGCUUGUAGUGUAGCUUUCCUCUAGUCGACGCAUCCAGGCAAGGGUGGGCGUGAUGGAGCGGGGCGGGCCCUGCGACGGCCUCUGUCGCUUCCGGAUUCACCUAGGCACGAGAGGGGACUGCCCGUUGCCCGCUGGGGACGGGGGUGAAACCUGAGGUGUGGUGUGCUUGGCUAGAGGGGGUUAUGCGAAGGGUCCUGUCACGGCCUCUUUCCGGUAUGUCGUGGUGGCAUGUCGGCGCACGGAAACGUGUCGUGGGGCUGUGUCUUGUGGGUACAGUUGUACACCUCUGAUCAGAGUAAAACUAUUCGAAUAGCCGUGCCCGCGGUUAUGGGCGGUCGACCAGAUUCACCGUGAUUAGUCCCAUCUUAAUAAAUCGACCCAAUGCACUGUAGUCCAGGUGGGUUGGUUGGGCCUGUUCAACAUGGUGUAGCGUUGAUCAGUGGAGAUUUAAUGUUACUUUAAUUACUCAACAGUUUUACUGUUUUGCUCAAUAAAGUGUUUUACAACUGCCUUUAUGCAAAUAGCCACAAACCAUCCUUGUAUCCCCUUGCACGUCUGCAUCGUUGGUGUGGCUUGCUGAGUACGGUGGUUGUACUCAGCCUUGCUAUUAUUCCCCCUUUUCAGAAGUGUAGUGCUUCUGAGCUGAAGAUGGAGUUAGAGGACCAAGGCUCAGACCCCAGUUGAGUUUUGCCUGUGGAGUGGAGCUGAAGCCCCGCUAGGAUCGCCUUUUUCCGCUGCUGCUGCUUUUGUUUCGGUGUGAGGACUAAGUGCCUCUUCUGUAAGUAUUUUACGCUUUAUUUACGUUUGGAACUGUAUAUUACUUGUCGUUUUGUGUACCCUGGCUGGUCCUGGACAGGGAUUUACUACACAAAAUAGUCUGGAAAUUUGGGCUAAAUUUCUGGGCGUGACAGACAAGAGAUGUGUCCUUUAUUUUUCUUUUAAUUAUACAGAACAACGCUGACAUUCACAACACACUCACAUCCAUCCCUGUAAACACGUGCACGUAAACCCUACCCAUAUAAACAUCUUUCAAGACUGGGCGGCCAGCAAAUCGUUGAGAUAUAGCACGAAUCCUAGAGCGAUUCUAGCUAUCAGAAGGAUUGGUCGGUGUUUUACAAUUUUUCGAUUGCUGGCGCUUACAUGGCAUGUCGUAUGGAUGCUAAGUGGCAUGCCUAACAUUUUGGUUAAUUUUUCUUUUCUUUUUUUCCCCUCUAAAUUCCCUUAUCUUUUUUUUCUUUUUUUUUACGCACGAUCAGAAAGGAAGAAGAGAAGAAAAGGGGGAGAAAAAAAUAUAAAAUGAAAAUGAGUAAAUGCUCGUGUUGCAUGUCAUCUGAAUACAACGUAUGAUCCCAAAAGGGUCUUAGUAAUUUGGGACCAGAAUACCACACUUUGAUAAGUUUUAGGACAUGAAUAUAUUUUGAGAGUUCGGGAAUCUAGAUGACACAGGUUCAUCCAGGCGAACAAGUUUAAGUACCGACAGUGAAACAAGUUAUUUACAACAGGUUUAGAAAUUUUGGACUGAAAUAAGUUUAAACUUAAACCAAAUUUGAUUAAAUUUGAAAAAAAAAGGUUUACUCUUAGUAGGGGACCAAGCGCUUGUUCAUUUUGUUACCAAUUUUAGCAAUGCUAAAUUUUUAUAAGUUUCGACGUUAUCAAAUUUUGGUAGCGUUAAAAUUAUUUAGUUCGAUGUAUUUUUCAAAUUUUGGUAGUCUUUUUGUGUGAAGAAAGUUCCGGAACCAACAAACUUUGGUAGAAUGGUAUUGGUAAGGUAAUAUUUAUAGUCUGUUACGCUACCAUAAUUUGUGCAGGAUAAGAUUUUGGUAGGGUUAAAAGUGGCAAUAAAUCCAACAGGCUCCAAAUUAGUACUCCCAUUAAUCGGACACCGUGGUUAGCUUGUCCGCAUCUGAGCUCUCGGCGCAUGAAAAUAGCCUAAAGGCGUGUACAUAUUUCCGUCCUCGUACGCAUCGAUCGAUCAAUCACAUGAAGAGAGACGGCGCAACCGCGCAAGCAAGAUUAUCAGUUGCUUCGUCCCUCGCAGCGCCGCCCCCCGCCGUAAACUAGGCCAUGGAGGCUCAACGACGACGGUGAGGGAGCUGGAGGUGGAGAUGAUGGCGGCGGAACCUCGACCAGCGCCUGGACAGCAUAUGGAUCGCCUCUCGCGCGCGGACCACAUAGAGCGGAGCCUGGACGAGAUCAGGGAGAGGAGCAGGAGAAGCUCGAGCAGGUGUUCCCGGAGCUGCGGUCGCCGUGUGGGGGAGGGCCCAGGACUAGGCCAUCUGCGCCGGCGAUAGCGGACGACGAGGUGAUCGUGCCUGAUCCGGGCCUGACGAGGCUGUUCGUCAGCCAACGCGAGACCCAGAUUUUGGAAGAGAUCGAAUGGCGAAAUCAAGCAAUAAGGCAGCGGCAAGCACGCGUCGUAGUUCCAUUGUAGGCUUGUAGCAGCUGGUUGGAGGAAAAAAAUUGUGAAUAUACCUAUUUUUUUCAAUAAUUUACGUUUAUAUAUCUACAUGGAAAGAAUUUGCAUAAAUAUACCUAUCCCGCGGAGAAGAAACGCGGGACCGGCCGAGUGAUUGGCGCAAUGUAAAAAACGUGGGUCCAACAGUAAUGCAGCACCGCGCGGUUCUAGGGCUGGGCAUGUGAGACCGGCCGUGCAUUCAUUAUAAUAAUAAAAAUCGCUGACGUGGCGCUCCUAAUCUCGUGGCGCUCCCACGGCUUUUAGGUAAAUAAAUAUGCCUAUACUGUUCAUUUGAUACACUAUUUAGCACCGUUAAGACAUUGUUUAAUACUAUUAAGACACUAUUUAGCACUGUUGAGGCAUUGUUUAGUACUAUUGGGCACUGUUCAUAUAGCCAGUGCCACACGACUAGGGCUGGACGAAAAGCUCGUGACUCAUUGGCUUGCUCGGCUCGUUGUUAGCUCGGCUCGGCUCGACUCGGCUCGUUACAUUUUCUUAACGAGCUGAGCUAGCAUCUUAGCUCGUUACUCAUAACGAGCCAGCUCGAGCUGGCUCACGAGCUCAACGAGCUAAGGGCAAGUAGCAGGCCAGCAGCCCAACAACCACAGUCGCGAGUCGCCCGGCCCAUUUCCCAGCAACUCAUCCCAAAAAUGCUAACCCUAGCCUUCGUGAGCGCGUCGCCCAGUCCUCCUCUCAGGUCUCAGCCGCACAACCGUGCGGCGGCGCUGAAGCUCAUCUGCCCAUCUCGCCGCUCUCCUCUACCGUAGCAAACCAGCUGCAAAAUACUCUCUGCAUUCUUCGGUCUCUCCACUCAGGAGCACCAAGACCAUGCUAGCAAAAUCGCAAUCACGAAGUCUUGGAAGGAUGCCAUGCUCGCGGAGUCCGCAGAGGGACAAGAAGGCAAGGCCCCUGCCUCACAUCCUCGAAGCCCCACCUGGAGUCCUGGAAAAUUGGUUCACAUGUAAGAGAUUUUGGUUCUCACACUUCUCACUGAGUUGGUGUUCGUCAUGUGUUUCGUUUGUUUUGUUUCAACUGCAAGAUUCAAUCAAAUGUUCCUUUGACCUUACAAAUUUAACCUUCUUUCUUUACCUUUUCUCGGGCUGGGAUUUAUUUUGGCUAAUGAAGGUUGCUUGCUGCCUGUGCCAGAUUCAUGUCAAAACGUGUGCUUGACCACGCCGCCGCUUGCUGCAUAGCCUGCUGCCCUUGCCCUUGUGCCGUCACUCGCAGCGCGGCCUGCCCGUCCCCGUGCAGUCGCUGGCUCGCGAGCUAAAACGAGCUAGCUUGAGCUUGUAGCGAGCACGAGCCGAGCUGCGUUUUCUGCUCGUUUAGAUAGCGAGCCGAGCCGAGUCAGCUCGUUUAGAUUAAAGCGAGCCGAGCCGAGCCGAGCUGGCUCGGCAUGCACCACCCCUACGCACGACGAAACCACGGGACCGUAUCGGUGCCGCGUUUUCGAGCCACGGGACUAUCUCGGUGCCACGCUGCCACACUCCCGGUCCGCGGUGUAGUUUCAACCCGCGGGACCGUCGCAGUUCCACUCCCUUGUUCAGCGGGAACAGCCCAGCCAACGCUCCCGCAUUCCCGCGUUUUCACUUUGCGGGGUGGAUAUAUUUAUGCAAAUUUUUCUCGUACAGACAUAUGAACGUAAAUUAUUUUUAAAAAGAUUGGUAUAUUCUCUUUUUUUUUCCUGGUUGGACCGACCUGAUCAUGCCGGAUCCACGCGCUUGUCUUGUGAUCUUGGGUUUGGUUUGAAUUCAAAAAUGCUUUAGCAAAAUGUCUUGCUAUAUGAAAUAGCUAUUACUAUGCAGCUGCUCGCACAAACUACGCUCCAUGUUUGAAACUUGAUUUAGGACAUGUUUAUUUUGAUGCCUAAAUCAACGUGACUAAAUUUUGACGUUGUCAAUAUUUUGUAAGGUUGUUGAUGUAUAGGUUGUAUUUAAUUAAUUUACUACAUCUAUCAGGUAUUUUGGGAAGAAGAUUCUAAAAAUACCAAAGUUUGGUAGCGUAGGUAAUUUUUGAUAAUGUUUAGAUUGUUGCCUUGUCAAAUUUUGGUUUUGCCAAAAUUUAGUAGGGUUAAGUCUGGCAACAAAGCGAACAACACUUUAAUUUGACGAUCUACACAUGAUUCUGUACCUGCUAGCAAUAUUGCUUCAUCAGUUGAAGCCAACUUGUUUUUUUUUCAUAAUCGAACUUUCUAACUCUUUAAAACCUCCUACAAUUGCGUAAAAACAACCUCCUACCUAGAGAAAUCUCUUGAAAUAAAGUUGAACGAGAGCUCCAUAACAACGCCUUCAAAAAGGUAAUCAGCGUCUAAGAGCUUCACUGUCACCAGCACCGGCAAGCCGAGCAAGACUUUCGUCUCGAAGUCCCAUCCGAACAUAGUGACCACAAUGUAAGUAGCAAAUGCCACAUGCACACGGAAGCUACCUGUACUAUGUACACCGUAACGACCUGCACGACGGCUGGACAGCGUUGUUGAUGACCUGCUAAGUUUUUCUCUGCACUGGAUUAAGUGUAAAGAAAUUCGAUUUUAGAAAAAAAAAAUUAAAACCUCCUGCAAAAUAAAAGAGAUGGAGUACAACUACUAUACUCGAGUCUGAGACGGAUCGACCGUGGCGCGUGUCCGCACCUGCAUAAUUAAAAACGCUAGGCGUGUACGUACGUAGUUUCGUCUCCUUUUUUUACCUAAAUGAUGCAUCCAUCUACGCAUACGUCCUCGUAACAAGAUUAGACGAUGAAGCUAAUCAAGCUCCUCAUCGGCUGCUUCGUCCCCCGCGGCGGCGAGACCGAGGCUCAGAUGAUGAUGAGGGAGCUGGAUGAAGAGCUCAACGAGCUGUUCCGGGACGUGCUGCCGCCACCACGGUCGCCGUGGAAGAGGGCGAAGGAGGCCAUCCGCCGCCGCAGGAACGGCGCCAAGGUCGCGCCGGCGACGGUGGACGCCGCCGUGAUCGUGCUUGGCCCGGCCGUGACGAGGAUGCUCGUCGACCAAGGCGCGACCCAUCUUCUGGACGAGCUCGAAUUGCUUAAUCAGGCAAUAAGGGAGCACUACGCGUCGUCGUAGCUUCAUGCUACCUGCUAUGUCUUGUGAUCUUUGGCUUUGAUUUCGUAGUACUCUCUUCCUUCAUAUUAUAAUAAGUCGUUUGACUUUUUUUUCUUAGUUAAUCUUUCAGUUAAAUCAAAUUUAUAGAGAAAAUUAGCAACAUCGACGACACCAGACUAGUUUCACUAAAUUGAACAUUGAAUAUGUUUCGUUACAAUGUUUGUUUUAUAUUAAAAAUAAUAUUAUAUUUUGCUACAAACUCAGUUAAAUUUAAAAAAGUUUGAUUAAAAAAAAUCUAACUAUUUAUAAUAUGAAAUGGGGGAGUAUUGUAGAGCUGCAGAGGCUUGCUUUGGCUGUACAAGAUUAUGUACUAUCUAGCAUUGGUUCAUUAGCUGAAAGCUCUGGUUUCCCAUGCAUCCAUGGCCAAGGCCAACAGAACUCAUUAUGUGCUGAAUCGCAUUCUGAAAUCUACGCAGAAGUUACGGUUACCAGAUCUGAUAAGAGGUACUAAACACAACACCCAGCUAUACCCAUAUGCUGAUGUUAUUAUGAUGUUAGUAUUAUGUCGUUGUAACAUUAUAGUGUUUUUUAAAAUAUAUUUUUGUCCUUUUUUAUUGAUCGAUGUUAUAUAAUAACCUUUUAAACUUUCCCUAAACUUCCAAUAACUCACAUUGCUUACAAUUUUUACGACGAAACGAACAACGUCCAACAUUCGAAUGUUUGCUAGGCAAUCCCUCUUAAAAAUAGAAGAUACUCCUAUACGGAUUCCAUCGCUUCUGGAUGUGGGUCCCAGGCGCUCUUCAGCCCGGCCCAAAAAACACUGCUGGGCCGAAACCUGCGAUAACACAUGAGAUAGGCAGGCAUCCGACGUGGCAGCGCCACGAUCCGAAGCCGCGCCCCGAUUGGCCCCGCCCAAAUCCAGAAAUCUCCACCUCACCCGCUCACCUCCGCCACAAACUCCCCCGCUACAUAUACGUUACACGUAGCACCUCCCCUUCUAGAGUAGUGUUAGUCUUAGCGAAUCCAGCAGCAGAAGCAGCAGCAGCAGCUCAGCCGCCGCCGAUGGCGUCCACGAUCAUGGCCCCAACCUCCCGCGUCCUCGCCGCCAAGACCCCCUUCCUCGGCCAUCCCCGCCCCUCCAAUGCCCCCGUCCGCGACAUCGCCGCCGCCGCCACCGGCCGCAUCACCAUGGUACGUACACACUUACUCUACUAUUUUCCGUUCAAGAAUAUAACAACCUAAUAUCAUCGGAUGUUCGAGAAUACAUCAUAGUUGUUGUUAUAUUUUUGGACGGAAAGAGUGCAGAGUAGCUAAGUAGCUAUUUUUUGGUUGUGGGGGUGCAGAGCAAGGAGCUGUGGUACGGGCCGGAUAGGGUGAAGUACCUGGGGCCAUUCUCGGCGCAGACGCCGUCGUACCUGAGGGGCGAGUUCCCGGGCGACUACGGGUGGGACACGGCGGGGCUCUCCGCGGACCCGGAGGCGUUCGCGAGGAACAGGGCGCUGGAGGUGAUCCACGGCCGGUGGGCGAUGCUCGGCGCGCUGGGCUGCAUCACGCCGGAGGUGCUCGAGAAGUGGGUGCGCGUCGACUUCAAGGAGCCCGUGUGGUUCAAGGCCGGCGCCCAGAUCUUCUCCGACGGCGGCCUCGACUACCUCGGCAACCCCAACCUGGUGCACGCCCAGAGCAUCCUCGCCGUGCUGGGAUUCCAGGUCGUCCUCAUGGGCCUCGUCGAGGGCUACCGCAUCAACGGCCUCCCCGGCGUCGGCGACGGCAACGACCUCUACCCCGGCGGCCAGUACUUCGACCCGCUCGGCCUCGCCGACGACCCCGUCACCUUCGCCGAGCUCAAGGUCAAGGAGAUCAAGAAUGGCCGCCUC